UACGUAGGGUGCAAGCGUUGUCCGGAAUUAUUGGGCGUAAAGAGCUCGUAGGCGGCUUGUCGCGUCGACUGUGAAAUCCCGCGGCUCAACUGCGGGUCUGCAGUCGAUACGGGCAGGCUAGAAUUCGGUAGGGGAGACUGGAAUUCCUGGUGUAGCGGUGAAAUGCGCAGAUAUCAGGAGGAACACCGGUGGCGAAGGCGGGUCUCUGGGCCGGAUACUGACGCUGAGGAGCGAAAGCGUGGGGAGCGAACAGG
rnacentral:rRNA from 1 species